GCUAAUACCGCAUACGCCCUACGGGGGAAAGCAGGGGACCUUCGGGCCUUGCGCGAUUGGAUGAACCCAGGUGGGAUUAGCUAGUUGGUGAGGUAACGGCUCACCAAGGCGACGAUCCCUAGCUGGUCUGAGAGGAUGAUCAACCACACUGAAACUGAGACACGGUCCAGACUCCUACGGGAGGCAGCAGUGGGGAAUAUUGCACAAUGGGGGAAACCCUGAUGCAGCCAUGCCGCGUGUGUGAAGAAGGCCUUCGGGUCGUGAAGCACUUUCAGCGAGGAGGAAAGGUUAGUAGCUAAUAUCUGCUGGCUGUGACGUUACUCGCAGAAGAAGCACCGGCUAACUCCGUGCCAGCAGCCGCGGUAAUACGGAGGGUGCAAGCGUUAAUCGGAAUUACUGGGCGUAAAGCGCACGCAAGCGGUUGGAUAAGUUAGAUGUGAAAGCCCCGGGCUCAACCUGGGAAUUGCAUUUAAAACUGUCCAGCUAGAGUCUUGUAGAGGGGGGUAGAAUUCCAGGUGUAGCGGUGAAAUG
rnacentral:rRNA from 1 species